AGGAAAGGGGUGGGCAGUUCCUGGAAGUGAGGGGUCCUCCCCUUUUUAGACCAUAUAGGAUAACUUCCUGACAUUGCCAUGGCAUUUGUAAACUGUCCUGCUGCUGGUGGGAAUGUUUUUUAGCAUGCUAAUGCAUUAUAAUUAGCAUAUAAUGAGCAGUGAGAAUGACCAGAGAUCACUUUCAUCUUCAUCUUGGUUUUGGUGGGUUUUGGACGGCUUCUUUACCACAACCUGUUUUAUCAGCAAGGUCUUUGUGACCUGUAUCUUGUGCUGACCUGUCUCAUCCUGUGACUAAGAAUGCCUAACCUCCUGGGAAUUUAGACUUAAAAUAAAGGUCUCAGCCUUAUUUUAUCUAGCCCCUAUUCAAGAUGGAGUUGCUCUGGUCCGAAUGCCUCUAAUAAUUUGAAGUUUAUCCAGCGGCACAGUGGGAGAUAAUGAAUUUUUGUUUAAGAGGAGGAGGACUGACUGGAUCAGAUUUGUGCUUUAGAAAGGUGGUUGCAUGUAAGAAAGAGGCGUUGGUAGAAAGACUUCAGAUAUCUCAAAAGAAUUUCCAUGAAGUUAAUCUUUUUAAAAAUGCAAACAUUUGGUGCAGUAAUUGCUUUGAAAUUGCAGUUGAAUAAAUGAACUUUUUGAACCAGAAUUUGGAAAGGAAGAUAUGCUUAAAAACCAAAAAUAUUUUGUAGAGUGCUACACAUUAGGAAGUCAUUUGUAUUUGGUGACCACUUUCCUAAAAUAGUCUCAUUUCUAGAGAACCAAUUUUGUUUCCCAUAGAUUAUUAUGUGUAGAGACCCCCUUUCAGUAUGUAGCCACUGGUACAUCCGUGGGUGUUAUCUCCAUACUGCCAGGUCCAAUGCAGUCACCUCCUGGAUCUAUAGUCUUUCUCCCCCCAUUCCGAUUUGCUUUCUCUGUUAGCAGUCAUCUUUGUAAACGGAAGUCUAAGAUUUAGUGUUGUACAUUUUUUAAAUGAUCCAUUUUGAUGGGGCUCUCUUUAUUGUUUCAGGUUGAAUGCCUUUGAGAACUUGAUGCAUAAAAUUUGCAUGACUCCUCACUCCUUUCUGGAUCUCUCAUUGGACUCAAGCCAGCAUGGCUCACACCACAAAGGUUAACGGCAGUGCCUCAGAACAUAUUGAUGCUCUGAAAGAUAACCCCAGAAGAGUAUGAGGAGACAUACGCAGUCUACACAGGCCUGUAAGCAACAAGAACAACAGAAAACGGGAUACAUGUGCGGAACAUGCAGGUUAGUUACAUAGGUAUAUGUGUGCCAUGGUGGUUUGCUGCACCUAUUGACUCAUCCUCUGAGUUCCCUCCCCUCGCCCCGUACCCCUCAACAGACCCUGGUGUGUGUUGUUCCUCUCUCUGUGUCCACGUUUUCUCAUUGUUAAGCUCCCACUUAUGAGUGAGAACAUGAGGUAUUUAGUUUUCUGUUCCUGUGUUAGUUUGUGAGGAUGAUGGUUUCCUGUUUUGUGCAUGUCCCAGCAGAGGACAUUAUCUCAUUCCCUUUUAUGGUUGCAUAGUAUUGAAUGGUGUAUAUGUACCAUAUUUUCUU